AGCGGGCGGCGCUAUUUCCCUUCCUCCACUGCUCUCUCCCAGGGAGCAGCACUGACACCUCUGCGGAAGGCACAUAUGCCGAGGACCCAGGUUCGUUCAGUGAUUGUAUCUGAGGCCAGUGGAACCAAAAGGCGCAAACUAUGCAAAACCUACGUGAGCCGCUUCAGCUCAUCCAGCAUCUAAUCUGCUGCAGCAUUACCAAG